rnacentral:lncRNA from 1 species
CCAGAUCUUAUAUCUUCAAAUCUAUCUUUCUUUUUAAUUUAUUUAUUUACUUUUAUCCAUUAUCAAUUUUCCAUCUCUAGAAACUCUUUGUAACCUAGUAUUUUGGGGAAUUAAGAAAAUCUUGUGGAUCUAAUCAUUCCAUCUCUAUUGAGGAUUCAAGAACAAAUUAUUGUAACCUUUGUAAGUAAAUCUUGAAUUUAUAUAUGAAUAAUACAAAGAUGCUUUCUAUUUUUUCUAUGAAAAUGUGUGGCUAAGCUCCCAUAACUAGGGUUAUGGGAGCCUUGAUGUGAAAAAUAGAUUUGAGUUGUGAAUCUAAUUGAGUUCCAUAAGUAAUUGAGGUUGUAUAAAACUUUCUUCACUUUAAUAACUUUUCUUGGUUGCAAACUUGAAAAGUGAGCCCAAGAACAUUACUUCUCCGAGAGGAAAGUGCUUGUUGGGAAAAGAAUGGGUUUACAGUGUCUCUAAGGACUUUAAUCUUUAGAUUAAUGGUAAAUACCUUAACCGGAUUGGCCUACAUGAGAGAACAGUUGACUAACCAAUGCAUUCUUUAAGUUCCAUAGAAUUAAAUGAUAGGCUGCCCACUGAGGUUGAGAAAUGAAUGGGCAAAUAAUAGGAUUUAACUACUCUUGCAAUUGAAGUUGUCAGUUGGACCUCUGAAUUGAUUCAUAACCCUAUUUGUUAAAGCAUCUUAAUAAACAUAACUCUAGUUUGAUUAAUAUAAUUGAAUUACUACUUUCAAAAAGAAUCAUUAGAUUGAAUAACUCUUUUACAAUUAGUUAGAACAUAAUUCACAAAUUUAAAAACCCCUAUUUUAUCUUUUCGUAUCAUUUGUUUGAAUUUAACUUGUUGAUGUAGUUUCAAAUUAGUUUAAUUUCCACUCACAUUGUACCCCAUGGCUUUAACCCCAACUCCAAAUUUGGAUAAAUAUAUUGACUAUGACCGCCUUGUACUUAACUGACGUGUAAGUUGAGUGUUAUCAAAUUUUGGCACUGUUGCGAGGGAAUACGGUUGUUAAUUUAGUUUGUGUUUGGUAAUUGACCUUUGGUUAAAUUUCACAAAUUUAACUUUUAUUUGUUAUUUUUUUUUGUCCAGGGGAGUUGUUGUGUAUGAUAAGUGCAUGGAGAUCGGGUGCACCAUUAUUACCAAUACAUUUGGACCACCAAUUUAUGACGGACCACCAACUAGAACACCAAGUCCAAACAGAAUCCAGAACUUCAUGACACUCAGCGAAGGUCAAAUUAGUGAACCGCCAGUUUUGCAGUGCACCACCAAUUUGACCACUAGAUUCAGGAUUUCAGAAGACCCACUGGUGGUCAAAAUGGUUAACCACCAGUUAUAUGGUGGACCACCAAACUAACCACCAGACCCUAACAAAAUCUAGGAUUUCAGAAUUCCCUGGGAAGGUUAAAAUAGUGGACCACUAGUUUUGCGGUGGACCACCAAUUUGGAUGACAUUUUUUUGAAUGCAAAUUUUAAAUCCUUUUUACUUUGGUACGUAUAAAUACUAGUUUUAGGUUUUAUUAAGCAUUAUCUAGGGAGUUGAGAUCUAGAUGUCAUAUCUUUAAAUCUAUCUUUCUUUUUAUUUUCUUUUAUCCUUUAUCAAUUUUUCCAUUUUUCGAAACUUUUUGUAACCUAGUAUUUUUGGAAAUCAAACAAAACUUGUGGAUGUAAUCAUUGCAUCUCGAUUAAAGAUUCAAGAACAAAUUCUUGUAACCUUUGUAAGUAAAUCUUGAAUUUAUUUAUGAAUAAUACAA